UGAUGAAACUGGGACAAACAAGAUUAGGUGACUGGCCCAGGAUCAUAUAGCUGGUAAAUCUACUGUGAAUGUUAUGAGCCAAGCCCAGAUCACCGACUUCAAACAGAAUCACGGCUACCUGUAGAGAGUUCUGCUGGCAGACAGGCUUUUACUAAAGCCAACAGAGCAGAGGUCCGUUCCUCAACUGACACCAAUUUAGUGUGGAGCAGAGAAAAAGAAGUCUGCAGAAAAGGCUGGAAAAGCAAAGACUCCAGAGCUGUUGCUCAAGAAGAACAUUAUAAUUAGAACGGGGACUGGAAAAGACUGUUGAGAAGGAUCAGAACAAACUGAAAUCUUGGUCUCUUUGCUUUUGAGACAGAAAGGAAGACAGUCUUUUUUGCCUUGGAGACAGAAAGGAGAAGGGGUCUCUUGGCUUGGGGACAGAAAGAAAGAAGUAACACUGCUGUGUUA
rnacentral:lncRNA from 1 species